rnacentral:rRNA from 1 species
CCCUCAUCUCCCACCGCACGCCGCCACCCUCCACCUCUUCGCGUCCUUCCUCCCACAGCUCGCCGCCGGCCCUCCCCUCCCUUCCCCUCACCUCGCAGCUCCGACAACUACCAGAUCCGCCGCAUACCCCACCCAUCCAUCCCUCUCGCAAUGCAUCUAUUCCUCCCCGGCACUCGCUUGUGACCCCUAGCAAUGGCUAGGGUUUCGGCUGCGGCAUCGUGUCCAACACUGCACAUCUCCGGCGGCUCCCCUCCAUCCGCACAUCGCGUCUUCGGUAGCUCCUCUCCGUCCACACCGCUCUUCCUUGAGCCCACCUUGCCGGCUGUGCGGUGAUGCCGCUGUGCAACGUCCAGUGGCGAGCGACCAACUCCUGGGCCGCCGUCGGCGACACCUCUUCUCCACCAAGGGUACCAAGUAGAGACAAACAGCAGGGUACAGAGCAGAGACAAACCACCGCACUGCAGUCUAGGUAGCUCUGUAACAGUGGUGCCACUGCAUGGCGCACAAUAGAGCUUGAGAGGGCAACCAUGAUGGCCGUUGGGAGCUGCACCACGAUCAACCAAGGGUAUGAUUGGGUCGCGAGCUACUUGGUGUUGUCCAUCAGAAUCUGCCAUGACAUGUAGUUGCCACCAGGAGGAUCGACGACAAGCACAUGAGUGGCACCCUUAGUAGUUUAUAUGUCUUGUUAACAUAAAUUGGAUUGUACUGGUUCCUAUCAUUGCCGUGUGAUAUAUUUUGACAAUAUAUGUUGUAUAUUAUCAUUUCCUGGAGGAUAUUAUAAACUGCUAGGUUGUAUAGAUACCUAUGGAUGGCUACAUAUUGAGUGAUUUAUGUAACGUAUGGCACUUUGGAAAUAUUGUCCUGGUCCAAAAUUGGCA